rnacentral:lncRNA from 10 species
AGACAGAGUCUCGCCCUGUCGCCCAGGCUGCAGUAGCACGAUCUUGACUCACUGCAGCCUCUGUCUCCCAGACUCAAGCGAUUCUCCUGCCUCAGCCUCCUGAGUUGCUGGAACCACAGCUCUGCAGCCUCCGCAACCUGAGAGAUUUACAAAAAAUAUAGAGCCUCUAGCGUUUGAUGGAGGAACACUAAAAAAGACAUUCCAGACAGUGAGCAGCUUCCUCUUCCUUUAUUCAUUGGUUCAGUGAAUGAGGAUUAUCAAAUGGUUCCCAAGCAACCAAUCUCACAAGACUUCACAAGAAAUGCUUUCUAGUUUGCAGAUGAAUUUCUGAAGUAGCCCACGGUUAUAUAUGACUGUUUAUGCCAGGAAAUAAAAUAUUCAAAACACAGUCCAGCAGAAUGAAAUCAGACAUUUCAAACAGGGAUAUGAAGUCAUUUUACCCAUCCUGCAUAUUGCUGACUUCAUGUCUCUCAGGUGGCCUUUGCUGUGGGUCGAUGCUCCAGGCCUCAUACAAUUCACUCGAGAAUUGCCAAAGUUAUUUGCACACCGGUGCUCACAAUGGCAUUAUUCACAAUAGCCAAAAGGUGGAAGCAACCCAAGUGGCCAUUGACAAAUGAAUGGAUAAGCAAAAUGGGGUAUAUACAGGUGAUGGAAUAUUAUUCAGCUUUAUAAAGGAAGAAAAUUCUGACACGUGUGACAACAUGGAUGAACCUUGAGGAUAUAUGCCAAGUGAAGUAAACCAGUCACAAAAAAGCAAAUACUGUAUGAUCCUACUUAUACGAGGUGCCUAGAGUAGUCAAAUCCAUAGAGAUAGAAAGUAGCAUGGCGUUUGCCAGGGUCUGGGGCAAGGAGGAAGAGGGAGUUGUUUAAUGAGUAGAGUUUUAGUUUUGUAAGAUGAAAAGAGUUCUGAAAAUGGAUGGCAAUGAUGGUUGCAAAACAAGGUGAAUGUACUUAACAUACAAUGUGAAUUUACAAACCAAGUGGUGACCCAUCACGGUGCACGAAGUUAUUUUCCACAUGCAUCUCUACCCAGUCCAAUUCAUUCAUUUAAAUAUGGUUAAGAUGGUAAAUGUUGUUACAUGCAUUUCGCCACAACUGAAAAUAAAAGCUAAAAAAAAAAAAAACUGCUACAAAAAAGGAGGGGAAAAAGGAAGAAAAUUCUGACAUUUGCUACAACGUGGAUGAACCUCGAGGGCAUUAUGCUGAGUAAAAUAAGCCAGUCACACACAAAAAGACAAAUACAUCAUGAUUCCACUCACAUGAAGUAUUUAAUCAAAUCCUAGAGGCAGAAAGUAUUAAAUAGAAUGGCGGUUGCCAGGGGCUGGUGGGAGGGGGAAUGGGGAGUUGUUUAAUGGAUAUAGAGUUUCAGUCUUGUGAGUGAAGAGUUCUGGGGAUGGAUGGUGGAGAUGGUUGUAUAACAAUAUGAGCAGAGUUAUGCCACUGAGCUGCACCUUUAACAACUGUUAACAUGGUAAAUUUUAUGUUAUGUACAUUUUUCCACAAUCCAAAAAAAACUGCUAAUGUUCACAAGGAUAGCUCUUGUUUUGCAAAAAUGCUUUGUGCUUCAAGUACCAACAUAAGCCAAAAAUAAUAGAAUAAGUCAUUAACAUAUACCUAAGACAAAAAAGCAAGAGAAAAUAAUGAAAUCAAUGACCUCAGCUAAGAAAAUCUUCGAUUUGGUCUUGUGCAAUUUGUUUUUGUCUGUGCAUAUUUUAAAUUUGUAGCAGUAAUGACUUUGGAAAGGGGGAAUCAAGUGAGUCUCAGCUCGGGGAAAACUAGGGCACUGCAUCAUUUAUAGAAACAGGUGCAACUGGUUUUAUUUGGACUUUUUUCUCAACUGUCUGGUUGAUAAAUAAAAGCAGACACUAUGUCAAAUGAACCAGGGAACUUUGCUCACAGCUGUUGGCAAAUUGUUAAAUUCCAUGAAGAUUAAAUUUGCCUCAAGUGUCUGUAUGGUCUGACUUCUUGGCCCUCUUGGUGGUGCCUGCAACAGCACCUGCAUCUGCUAUGCAGGUAAGCCGAGGGAUGACACAUCACAGUGUGCAAAGUUGUUUUCCAGAUGCAUCUCUGCUGAGUUCGAUUCAAUUGUCACACCCUUCUCACCUUUUAUAGAAGUGGUUCUAAACAUUGGCCACACAUGGAGUCACCUGGGAGAUGUCUAAAAAUCCCAAGGCCCAGUUUGAGCCUCAGCCCCACAAAAUCAAAAUCUGUGAGGCUGGGACCCGUGGUUGGGAAUCACGGUUUUAAGGCAACUCUAUAAUCCCCUAUAUGAUAUCUGCAAGAGUAACAAAAGCUAUAUAAAUGUUGUCCUCAAAAAUGUAUUCUCUAUUACAUAUUUUGGAUGUUUGUCUCCCCCACAUCUCACACUAACAUGUGAUCCCCAGCGUUGGGGAUGGGGCCUGGUGGGAGGUGUUUGAGUCACAGGGGUGGAUCCCUCAUGAAUAUGAAUAUCUUGGUGCUGUCCUCAUGAGAGUGAGUGAGUUCUCGCGAGAUAUAGUUGUUUAAAAGUGUGUAGGACAUCCCCACUCUCUCUCUUGCUCCCACUCUUGCCAUGUGAUGUGCUGGCUUCCCUCUUCCCCUUCCCUCUUCACCCAUGAUUGGAAGCUCCCUCUGAAGGAGAUGAGCUUCUCUCCUGAAGGAGAUGCCAACACCACACUUCCUAUACAGCCUGCAGAACCAUGAGCCAAAUAAACUUUCUUUCUUUAUAAAUUAUCCAGUCUCAGAUAA